rnacentral:rRNA from 1 species
AGCUCCAAUAGCGUAUAUUAAAGUUGUUGCAGUUAAAAAGCUCGUAGUUGAACUUUGGGUCUGAGCCUCUGGUCCGCCGCAAGGCGUGUUACUUCGUAGGCUCGGACCUUUCCUCCUGGCUAACCUUGAUUCCCUUUACCGGGUGUCUUGGCGAACCAGGACUUUUACUUUGAGAAAAUUAGAGUGUUCAAAGCAGGCCUUCGCUCGAAUAUAUUAGCAUGGAAUAAUAGAAUAGGACGUAUGGUUUUAUUUUGUUGGUUUCUAAAACCGUCGUAAUGAUUAAUAGGGACAGUCGGGGGCAUCAGUAUUCAAUUGUCAGAGGUGAAAUUCUUGGAUUUAUUGAAGACUAACUACUGCGAAAGCAUUUGCCAAGGAUGUUUUCA